UGAAUCAUCGAUGGCAUUGUUUGUAUGGAUAAACAGGUGUAGGACCAAACCACUUCCGCACCGUGUGUAUUACCAAAACAGUAUGAUAUGAUUGCUUUAUGGCCUGAAUUUAGCUUUUGUGGUUGCAUUUGUCAUGGUGGUUUGAUCGAAGCAAUGUAAACUGAGCCCAGAAAGCUUUGAGCACCAACACUAUGUUUUUUUAAAAAAAUUCUGGAUCUUGAUUACUUGGAAAAGAUGAUACUAUAAGUUAUAAAUUUUUGCGGGGGAAUUUUUUCCUGUUUUGAUGUUGUAAAAACAAGUAAUAAACUUUGGUGGGGGGAUUUUCCUGUUAUGGUGUGGUGUCUUUGACAGCUUUACAAUUGAAGAAUAUUGGCAUUGAAUUCAGGAACCAUAUGUGGUAAACAGAUUUGAAGUCUUAUUGAAUUUUCUUUUGAGGGACUGUAAUGCAUACUUUGUAUUGCAUUAACUACAGUUAUCAGUUGGCUAAUAACAGACUUGCAAUUAAGGAACAAUAACUUAUUGGUGAUAAUGUCCGAUUCAUUUGUGUGGUAAGAUGUUAAUAGGAUCAUUCAAUACUAGGUAUUUCCCUUCUGUUGCACUUUGAUCAUUUACAGCCUUUUCUUGCAUAGUUGAAUAGGUGUAAUUAUGAUGGAUAGCGUUAAAUGUUUCCGGCGUUUGUUUCCAAGAUGUUGCUGCAUGGCUUGCCGCUCAGGUCAUUAUGUUGCAGUCCGUGUUGGAGAGUUCGAUCGAUCGAUUGACAUUUUGAAUGUUUUUUUUCAUGCGGUGAAAUCGAGCUCACUCCACCCCCUUCUUCAGUUUCUAAUCCUGUCUCAUCUGCGCCGAUUCCUUCCUGUCAUGCUACAAAGCACAUGGCGUUUGCAAACCUUUGGUGUUGGGUGAUCACCAUUAUUGAGGGUAAUGCAGUGGCUGAGGCUAGGCAGCGGUAGUCGGACGAAGUUAUACUAAGAACCUUGUGUUUCCACCAAAGUCUGAUAAAAGGAUUCCAUGGAAACAAACUGUUCUCGUACUCCAUUGGGCGAUUUGACGAACCACAAUGAUGGAGGGGCUGAGAGCGAGAACAAUUCACAGUCAACAACCAAUGACAAUAAGGAACGUAAGAGGGAAAGGGAGAGAGCAAGGUAUGCAACAAUGUCUCAUUCUGAGAAAAAUGCGAGAAAUUUGAGGCAGCGUGAAGCGCAUCAAAAAACAAAAGAACAUCAUAAUCUCAUGGAAAUAGUUGAUUCUCGUGCUCCAUUUGGCAACUUGACAAACCAGAGUAAUGGAGGUAAUUAUUAAUAGAAGAGAUUACUUGAGUUAAAAAGAUAGACACACUGACUAUAUAUGUUAUGCUAUUUACACUGCAGGGGCUGGGAGCGCACCUAAUCCAAAGCCAGCAACCAAUGAUAAUAAGCAUCGAAAGCGGGAAAGGGAUAGAGCAAGGUAUGCAGCAAUGUCUCGAGCAGAGAAGAAUGCGAGAAAUCUGAGACAGCGUGAAGCACGACAAAAAAAGAAAGGUGCUAAAUAUUUUUUAUUUGUGGUGUUACAAAUGGAUUAUAUGUAAUCAAGAACUUCUGCAUAUGGUUCCCACGAUUCUGAGCACCGAAAGAAUAUGUAUUACUAGCCUAACAUGUACCAUGUGAAGGCCAUCUUGAUGCUUUUUCUGAAAUGGUAUAUAGUCCUCCAUAUGGUAGGCUUAAUUGCAGUACAUUUGUACUGUACCUUUGUGAUGGUUGGAACCAAAUCUGUUAUACUAAGAUUAACUUUUGGGUUGCUUGUGAAGAUCAAUGAGCCAGAAAAUAUCA